CGAACGAGUUCUGAUUAUUGAAAGGUGCUUGCAUCUUGAUUUAAUUUUGAACGAGUGGCGGACGGGUGAGUAACACGUGGGUAACCUGCCCUUAAGUGGGGGAUAACAUUUGGAAACAGAUGCUAAUACCGCAUAAAUCCAAGAACCGCAUGGUUCUUGGCUGAAAGAUGGCGUAAGCUAUCGCUUUUGGAUGGACCCGCGGCGUAUUAGCUAGUUGGUGAGGUAACGGCUCACCAAGGCAAUGAUACGUAGCCGAACUGAGAGGUUGAUCGGCCACAUUGGGACUGAGACACGGCCCAAACUCCUACGGGAGGCAGCAGUAGGGAAUCUUCCACAAUGGACGCAAGUCUGAUGGAGCAACGCCGCGUGAGUGAAGAAGGCUUUCGGGUCGUAAAACUCUGUUGUUGGAGAAGAAUGGUCGGCAGAGUAACUGUUGUCGGCGUGACGGUAUCCAACCAGAAAGCCACGGCUAACUACGUGCCAGCAGCCGCGGUAAUACGUAGGUGGCAAGCGUUAUCCGGAUUUAUUGGGCGUAAAGCGAGCGCAGGCGGUUUUUUAAGUCUGAUGUGAAAGCCCUCGGCUUAACCGAGGAAGUGCAUCGGAAACUGGGAAACUUGAGUGCAGAAGAGGACAGUGGAACUCCAUGUGUAGCGGUGAAAUGCGUAGAUAUAUGGAAGAACACCAGUGGCGAAGGCGGCUGUCUGGUCUGUAACUGACGCUGAGGCUCGAAAGCAUGGGUAGCGAACAGGAUUAGAUACCCUGGUAGUCCAUGCCGUAAACGAUGAAUGCUAGGUGUUGGAGGGUUUCCGCCCUUCAGUGCCGCAGCUAACGCAUUAAGCAUUCCGCCUGGGGAGUACGACCGCAAGGUUGAAACUCAAAGGAAUUGACGGGGGCCCGCACAAGCGGUGGAGCAUGUGGUUUAAUUCGAAGCAACGCGAAGAACCUUACCAGGUCUUGACAUCUUUUGAUCACCUGAGAGAUCAGGUUUCCCCUUCGGGGGCAAAAUGACAGGUGGUGCAUGGUUGUCGUCAGCUCGUGUCGUGAGAUGUUGGGUUAAGUCCCGCAACGAGCGCAACCCUUAUGACUAGUUGCCAGCAUUUAGUUGGGCACUCUAGUAAGACUGCCGGUGACAAACCGGAGGAAGGUGGGGAUGACGUCAAAUCAUCAUGCCCCUUAUGACCUGGGCUACACACGUGCUACAAUGGAUGGUACAACGAGUUGCGAGACCGCGAGGUCAAGCUAAUCUCUUAAAGCCAUUCUCAGUUCGGACUGUAGGCUGCAACUCGCCUACACGAAGUCGGAAUCGCUAGUAAUCGCGGAUCAGCACGCCGCGGUGAAUACGUUCCCGGGCCUUGUACACACCGCCCGUCACACCAUGAGAGUUUGUAACACCCGAAGCCGGUGGCGUAACCCUUUUAGGGAGCGA
rnacentral:rRNA from 1 species